CAAGAAGAGACCCUAACCGGUCCUCUCAACCCUGCCCAUCGUACCUUUUUUGUUGUUCCCUCGGCGGUGCUCGCGGGCCCGCCGGCGGGGAAGACCAAACAAACCCUUUGCAAACAAGCAUAUUGAAUCUCUGAUCAAACAUGAAUUGUCA
rnacentral:misc_RNA from 1 species